rnacentral:rRNA from 1 species
UACAGAGGUCUCAAGCGUUGUUCGGAUUUACUGGGCGUAAAGGGCGCGUAGGCGGUCAGCACAAGUCAGUUGUGAAAUCUCCGGGCUUAACCCGGAAAGGUCAACUGAUACUGUGCGACUAGAGUGCGGAAGGGGCAACUGGAAUUCCCGGUGUAGUGGUGAAAUGCGCAGAUAUCAGGAGGAACACCGGUGGCGAAGGCGGGUCUCUGGGCCGAUACUGACGCUGAGGAGCGAAAGCCGGGAGGCAACGGG